rnacentral:sRNA from 2 species
CAGAAGGGUCGCUAGGGUUCCGGUCGCACACAUCGAUGCGGCGCUGGUCCGAGAGCAACCGGCCUCAGGCGCGCACGACCGCGCCCAGGCUCCACGGCGGGACAAAAGCCCGGGAGAU